rnacentral:lncRNA from 1 species
ACGGGACACCUGCAUCUGCCAACAAGACUGGAAGCAGAAAGGGACAGAGACGGCGAAGUUUGACGGUCUGGAAAGCAGAGACCAGCAGGGCUGACUGCUUGGGAGCACCAAAUAUCCGGACAGCGCCUCUCGGGAGGUCCGAGAAGAGAACCGCGAUCUGUUUCAGCACCGGGGCUCAGGACAGUUCCCAGCGGGCUCCGUUUCGUCUCCAGAACCCUGGACAGCUCCUCCAGACUUCGGUGAGAAACCUUGUGCCAAGCAUUUUACAUACAUCAUAUCAUGCCAUCUUCAACCCUAGGACAUGGGUGUUACUGUGCCCAUGUGACAUUUGGGGAACCCAAGGCCCUGAGAAAGGCAGAAAAAUAACCCACGCAGGGACUCUCAGCCCACAAGUGAAGCUGAGAACCGGGAAUGGAAAACAGGGAGGCAGCACAGAGGCAGGAAACUCAGGUGUCAUAGCUUGGCUCAGCCUCAGGGCUUUUGCCUCUGCUGUUCCUGCAGCUUGGAAUGCACUCCCUCCACCUCCAACCAGAGCUCCCCACAACUGACCCUGCCUUCUUCUGCAAGCUCCAUUUCAUCAAGGGAAACGAUCCUUAUUGCCUCACCAUUUCCCACGUGAAGUCUGUAUUGACAUUCUCAUAGACCUGGGAUAUUGUGUCUGCAGCACAUAGUCCAAUUAUUUUCAUGUUAUCUACUGACAGGUCUAUUUGUCUCCCUGUUACACUGUGAGCUCCGUGAGGGCAGAAACAAUGUUAGUAUUUUCACUGCUGUGUCCCCAGCGCCUGGUCCGGGGCCCGGCACACAGCAGGCAUAUAAUAAGCAUGUGUUGAAUCAAUAAAGGCAUCAAAGAAUAAACCAAUACAUCAAUCAAUAAA